GAUGAACGCUGGCGGCGUGCCUAAUACAUGCAAGUCGAGCGAACGGACGAGCAGCUUGCUUCUCUGAUGUUAGCGGCGGACGGGUGAGUAACACGUGGAUAACCUACCUAUAAGACUGGGAUAACUUCGGGAAACCGGAGCUAAUACCGGAUAAUAUUUUGAACCGCAUGGUUCAAAAGUGGAAGACGGUCUUGCUGUCACUUAUAGAUGGAUCCGCGCUGCAUUAGCUAGUUGGUAAGGUAACGGCUUACCAAGGCAACGAUGCAUAGCCGACCUGAGAGGGUGAUCGGCCACACUGGAACUGAGACACGGUCCAGACUCCUACGGGAGGCAGCAGUAGGGAAUCUUCCGCAAUGGGCGAAAGCCUGACGGAGCAACGCCGCGUGAGUGAUGAAGGUCUUCGGAUCGUAAAACUCUGUUAUUAGGGAAGAACAUAUGUGUAAGUAACUGUGCACAUCUUGACGGUACCUAAUCAGAAAGCCACGGCUAACUACGUG
rnacentral:rRNA from 1 species